rnacentral:misc_RNA from 1 species
UUCGUACAUGUUGCAACUCAAUUCAUGUUUUUCUUCUGAUCUCUGCCAUUUGAAAUUGGACUCAACAUGCCCUCCUCCACCAGUAGUCACCACACAGAGCAAUUGGCAGAGGCAAAUGACCCCAAAAAUCCAAGGAUGCAUCCUCAUUGCAACACUCCUUUGUGUAAUUGUGUGAAGGUGUGUGUUUUGUAUAUAUAUAUAAUUCAAGAUAAUUGGUUGGAACUGGACAAAAUUUUAGUUUGUCUCUCUGCAGAGAAUGUGUUGAAAAGGGUGCCUGAACCAAGC